rnacentral:rRNA from 1 species
UUGGCGAGUUUGAUCCUGGCUCAGAGCGAACGCUGGCGGCGUACUUAACACAUGCAAGUCGAACGAGGAUCAUCGGGUUAGCAAUAAUUCGGUGGUUCUAGUGGCGUACGGGUGAGUAACACGUGGGUAACCUGCCCUUGAGUCCGGGAUACCCUCUCGAAAGGGAGGCUAAUACUGGAUACGUUCCCCGGGGCGCAAGACCUGGGGAGGAAAGGUGGCGAAAGCUGCCGCUCUUGGAGGGGCUCGCGGCCUAUCAGCUAGUUGGUGAGGUAACGGCUCACCAAGGCUAUGACGGGUAGCUGGUCUGAGAGGACGACCAGCCACACGGGAACUGAGACACGGUCCCGACUCGUACGGGAGGCAGCAGUGGGGAAUUUUCCGCAAUGGGCGAAAGCCUGACGGAGUGACGCCGCGUGGGGGACGAAGGCCUUCGGGUCGUAAACCCCUGUCAGAGGGAAAGAAGGGUGUCGGCGUGAACAGCGCCGGCAUUUGACGGUACCUUCAGAGGAAGCCCCGGCCAACUCUGUGCCAGCAG